rnacentral:rRNA from 1 species
UAAGGAGCUUGCUCCUUUGACGUUAGCGGCGGACGGGUGAGUAACACGUGGGUAACCUACCUAUAAGACUGGGAUAACUUCGGGAAACCGGAGCUAAUACCGGAUAACAUUUGGAACCGCAUGGUUCUAAAGUGAAAGAUGGUUUUGCUAUCACUUAUAGAUGGACCCGCGCCGUAUUAGCUAGUUGGUAAGGUAACGGCUUACCAAGGCGACGAUACGUAGCCGACCUGAGAGGGUGAUCGGCCACACUGGAACUGAGACACGGUCCAGACUCCUACGGGAGGCAGCAGUAGGGAAUCUUCCGCAAUGGGCGAAAGCCUGACGGAGCAACGCCGCGUGAGUGAUGAAGGGUUUCGGCUCGUAAAACUCUGUUAUUAGGGAAGAACAAAUGUGUAAGUAACUGUGCACGUCUUGACGGUACCUAAUCAGAAAGCCACGGCUAACUACGUGCCAGCAGCCGCGGUAAUACGUAGGUGGCAAGCGUUAUCCGGAAUUAUUGGGCGUAAAGCGCGCGUAGGCGGUUUCUUAAGUCUGAUGUGAAAGCCCACGGCUCAACCGUGGAGGGUCAUUGGAAACUGGGAAACUUGAGUGCAGAAGAGGAAAGUGGAAUUCCAUGUGUAGCGGUGAAAUGCGCAGAGAUAUGGAGGAACACCAGUGGCGAAGGCGACUUUCUGGUCUGUAACUGACGCUGAUGUGCGAAAGCGUGGGGAUCAAACAGGAUUAGAUACCCUGGUAGUCCACGCCGUAAACGAUGAGUGCUAAGUGUUAGGGGGUUUCCGCCCCUUAGUGCUGCAGCUAACGCAUUAAGCACUCCGCCUGGGGAGUACGACCGCAAGGUUGAAACUCAAAGGAAUUGACGGGGACCCGCACAAGCGGUGGAGCAUGUGGUUUAAUUCGAAGCAACGCGAAGAACCUUACCAAAUCUUGACAUCCUUUGAAAACUCUAGAGAUAGAGCCUUCCCCUUCGGGGGACAAAGUGACAGGUGGUGCAUGGUUGUCGUCAGCUCGUGUCGUGAGAUGUUGGGUUAAGUCCCGCAACGAGCGCAACCCUUAAGCUUAGUUGCCAUCAUUAAGUUGGGCACUCUAGGUUGACUGCCGGUGACAAACCGGAGGAAGGUGGGGAUGACGUCAAAUCAUCAUGCCCCUUAUGAUUUGGGCUACACACGUGCUACAAUGGACAAUACAAAGGGCAGCUAAACCGCGAGGUCAUGCAAAUCCCAUAAAGUUGUUCUCAGUUCGGAUUGUAGUCUGCAACUCGACUACAUGAAGCUGGAAUCGCUAGUAAUCGUAGAUCAGCAUGCUACGGUGAAUACGUUCCCGGGUCUUGUACACACCGCCCGUCACACCACGAGAGUUUGUAACACCCGAAGCCGGUGGAGUAACCAUUUAUGGAGCUA